GAUGAACGCUGGCGGCGUGCCUAAUACAUGCAAGUCGAGCGAACAGACGAGGAGCUUGCUCCUUUGACGUUAGCGGCGGACGGGUGAGUAACACGUAGGUAACCUACCUAUAAGACUGGGAUAACUUCGGGAAACCGGAGCUAAUACCGGAUAAUAUUUCGAACCGCAUGGUUCGAUAGUGAAAGAUGGCUUUGCUAUCACUUAUAGAUGGACCUGCGCCGUAUUAGCUAGUUGGUAAGGUAACGGCUUACCAAGGCAACGAUACGUAGCCGACCUGAGAGGGUGAUCGGCCAAACUGGAACUGAGACACGGUCAAGACUCCUACGGGAGGCAGCAGUAGGGAAUCUUCCGCAAUGGGCGAAAGCCUGACGGAGCAACGCCGCGUGAGUGAUGAAGGUCUUCGGAUCGUAAAACUCUGUUAUUAGGGAAGAACAAACGUGUAAGUAACUGUGCACGUCUUGACGGUACCUAAUCAGAAAGCCACGGCUAACUACGUG
rnacentral:rRNA from 1 species